UGAGGAAUAUUGGUCAAUGGACGAGAGUCUGAACCAGCCAAGUAGCGUGAAGGAUGACUGCCCUAUGGGUUGUAAACUUCUUUUAUAUGGGAAUAAAGUGCAGUAUGUAUACUGUUUUGUAUGUACCAUACGAAUAAGGAUCGGCUAACUCCGUGCCAGCAGCCGCGGUAAUACGGAGGAUCCGAGCGUUAUCCGGAUUUAUUGGGUUUAAAGGGAGCGUAGGCGGAAGCUUAAGUCAGUUGUGAAAGUUUGCGGCUCAACCGUAAAAUUGCAGUUGAUACUGGGUUUCUUGAGUGCAGUAGAGGUAGGCGGAAUUCGUGGUGUAGCGGUGAAAUGCUUAGAUAUCACGAAGAACUCCGAUUGCGAAGGCAGCUUACUGGACUGUAACUGACGCUGAUGCUCGAAAGUGUGGGUAUCAAACAGGAUUAGAUACCCUGGUAGUCCACACAGUAAACGAUGAAUACUCGCUGUUUGCGAUAUAAUGCAAGCGGCCAAGCGAAAGCAUUAAGUAUUCCACCUGGGGAGUACGCCGGCAACGGUGAAACUCAAAGGAAUUGACGGGGGCCCGCACAAGCGGAGGAACAUGUGGUUUAAUUCGAUGAUACGCGAGGAACCUUACCCGGGCUUAAAUUGCAACUGACGGAUUUGGAAACAGAUCUUCCUUCGGGCAGUUGUGAAGGUGCUGCAUGGUUGUCGUCAGCUCGUGCCGUGAGGUGUCGGCUUAAGUGCCAUAACGAGCGCAACCCUUAUCUUUAGUUACUAACAGGUCAUGCUGAGGACUCUAGAGAGACUGCCGUCGUAAGAUGUGAGGAAGGUGGGGAUGACGUCAAAUCAGCACGGCCCUUACGUCCGGGGCUACACACGUGUUACAAUGGGGGGUACAGAAGGCAGCUACACAGCGAUGUGAUGCUAAUCCCAAAAGCCUCUCUCAGUUCGGAUUGGAGUCUGCAACCCGACUCCAUGAAGCUGGAUUCGCUAGUAAUCGCGCAUCAGCCACGGCGCGGUGAAUACGUUCCC
rnacentral:rRNA from 1 species